rnacentral:rRNA from 1 species
AUGCGACUAAUCCUGGACUGGCACCAUCGCCUGCAUCAUCAGCAACAGUGGAUGGCAGGUAUGGACAGCAUCCAGGUUCUUCAACUACACAAGAAGAAAAUGGCAAUGCAAUUUCAUCUCCUAUUGUGCAAGCUCCUGGUGGACAUGCGCACCAGCCACUCAGUAUGGCAUCUCUACAUGCAGCUGUUGCGGCCGCACAAGGUACUACGAUGGUUGAACCACAGUUUGGAAGACCUGCUACCACACUUGGCCCUCCAAUUCCUAGAGACCCUCCAAAUCAACAACAAAAGGGAGGGCAAAGUCAAAAAGAAUUCAAUCAGCACUUGA